AACGAACGCUGGCGGCAGGCUUAACACAUGCAAGUCGAGCGGUAAGGCUCCUUCGGGAGUACACGAGCGGCGAACGGGUGAGUAACACGUGAGCAACCUGCCCUUCUCAUCGGAAUAAGCGUUGGAAACGACGUCGAAUGCCGAAUAUGACAACGAAUCGCAUGAUCUGUUGUGGAAAGCUCAGGCGGAGAAGGAUGGGCUCUCGGCCUAUCAGGUUGUUGGGGGGGUAACGGCCCACCAAGGGGACGACGGGUAGCGGGCCUGGGCGGGUGACCGGCCACACUGGGACUGAGACACGGCCCAAACUCCUACGGGAGGCAGCAGUGGGGAAUAUUGGACAAUGGGCGCAAGCCUGAUCCAGCAACGCCGCGUGAGGGAUGGCGGCCUUCGGGUUGUAAACCUCUUUCAGCAGGGACGAAGCGAAAGUGACGGUACCUGCAGAAGAAGGACCGGCCAACUACGUGCCAGCAGCCGCCGUAAGAC
rnacentral:rRNA from 1 species